rnacentral:rRNA from 1 species
GGGGAUCGUGAGAUGGGUUCAGAACGCCGCGAGGCAGUUCGGUUAUAACUGUCGGAAGUGCUGGCUGCCUGAGGGGAAGGUCCGCCUAGUACGAAAGGAACGGCGGGCCGGGGCCUCUGGUGUACGGGCUGUCCGAGAAGGGCAUGCCCGGUAGCUACGCCCCAGGGGAUAAGCCCUGAAAGCAUCUAAGGGCGAAGCCCUCCUCAAAAAUAGGCAGCCGUUAAGGGGUCGGAUAAAAGAUCCGACUCAGAGCGGCGGUGUAAGCUCCGAAAAGGAGUUCAGCCGACCG